UAAUAGCGGUUGUGUGUGCUCCGGGCGUAUGACGUUAAAACAUCCAACGUGCAAGUGAAAAAAUGGAAAUAUGCUCCUACAUGUAAAACAAUAAUUUUGAAAGGGAGUGAUGGACGGAUGGGGUUCGUCCAACACCACUUUGGAGAGGCAGGCGUUGCUGUUCGAGAUGCACUGCACGGGAAAAGACAUCUCACUUCUUGGACGCCGCUACUAGAGUAGCUUAGAUGAAUGCGUUUUGUGGAUGAAACUCUCCGGAAAAGAUGGAGUCUGUGAUAUGUCCGUAUGGACCUGCAAGAUCAUCUCCAUUAUUUCUUCCGGUCUCAAGCAGUAACCUCCAUCGCUAGCUAACGACGACACUUUUCCGAUGCGAAGACCGAAGGAACUAGUCAACUCUGCAAUUCUCAACAAAGACCAACAUUCUUGGGGAUGAAUACUGUUCACCAUCACCACUUCGAAUUCGGCGCUGUCAUCAUCAUCAUUCCGGUCCAUCCGUCAUCGAGGUUUACUGGUAGCUACUAGUAGUCAAUCAAAGCGACUAUGGUGUUUCACUACUAGUAGCUUCAAUUGAGAACAAAAUAUACGUAGCAAGUUAUUUAUUUUUUAAGUUAUCACUGUUACAAGAAGAUCUUUGUAAUACAAAAAAAGAACCUUAUUUCAUUUGUUCAUCUCUAGAAUUAUAUUGUACUGCCCUAACUGCACUUUGCUGGCAGCUGGCACUAGUUCAUCACACGACAUAGUCUCCCCCAGCAAAAAAACAAUGAAAACUGUGAAAGCAAACGAAAUUUUUUUAAUUAAAACUUUAUUAAAAAUUACCCAAAUGUAACUAUUGAAAAAUACAAUAAAAAAGUCAAAAAUU